CCUACGGGUGGCUGCAGUGAGGAAUAUUGGUCAAUGGACGCAAGUCUGAACCAGCCAUGCCGCGUGCAGGAAGACGGCUCUAUGAGUUGUAAACCUCUUUUGCACGAGGGUAAACGCAGAUACGUGUAUCUGUCUGAGAGUAUCGGACGAAUAAGCAUCGGCUAACUCCGUGCCAGCAGCCGCGGUAAUACGGAGGAUUCAAGCGUUAUCCGGAUUUAUUGGGUUUAAAGGGUGCGUAGGCGGUCGGGUAAGUUAGAGGUGAAAUCCCGAGGCUCAACUUCGGAAUUGCCUCUGAUACUGUUCGGCUAGAGUGUAGUUGAGGUAGGCGGAAUGUGUGGUGUAGCGGUGAAAUGCUUAGAGAUCAUGCAGAACCCCGAUUGCGAAGGCAGCUUACCAAGCUACUUCUGACGUUGAGGCACGAAAGCGUGGGGAGCGAACAGGAUUAGAUACCCGAGUAGUC
rnacentral:rRNA from 1 species